CGACCGCUGGCGGCGUGCUUAACACAUGCAAGUCGAACGGAAAGGCCCUGCUUUUGUGGGGUGCUCGAGUGGCGAACGGGUGAGUAACACGUGAGUAACCUGCCCUUGACUUUGGGAUAACUUCAGGAAACUGGGGCUAAUACCGGAUAGGAGCUCCUGCUGCAUGGUGGGGGUUGGAAAGUUUCGGCGGUUGGGGAUGGACUCGCGGCUUAUCAGCUUGUUGGUGGGGUAGUGGCUUACCAAGGCUUUGACGGGUAGCCGGCCUGAGAGGGUGACCGGCCACAUUGGGACUGAGAUACGGCCCAGACUCCUACGGGAGGCAGCAGUGAGGAAUAUUGCACAAUGGGCGGAAGCCUGAUGCAGCAACGCCGCGUGCGGGAUGACGGCCUUCGGGUUGUAAACCGCUUUCGCCUGUGACGAAGCGUGAGUGACGGUAAUGGGUAAAGAAGCACCGGCUAACUACGUG
rnacentral:rRNA from 1 species